rnacentral:rRNA from 1 species
AGUGGCGGACGGGUGAGUAACGCGUGAGAAUCUGCCUUGGGGUCGGGGACAACCACUGGAAACGGUGGCUAAUACCGGAUAAGCCGAUUGGUGAAAGAUUUAUUGCCCGAAGAGGAGCUCGCGUCUGAUUAGCUAGUUGGUGAGGUAAGAGCUCACCAAGGCAGCGAUCAGUGGCUGGUCUGAGAGGACGAUCAGCCACACUGGGACUGAGACACGGCCCAGACUCCUACGGGAGGCAGCAGUGGGGAAUUUUCCGCAAUGGGCGAAAGCCUGACGGAGCAAGACCGCGUGAGGGAGGAAGGCUCUUGGGUUGUAAACCUCUUUUCUCAGGGAAGAAGCUCUGACGGUACCUGAGGAAUCAGCCUCGGCUAACUCCGUGCCAGCAGCCGCGGUAAUACGGAGGAGGCAAGCGUUAUCCGGAAUUAUUGGGCGUAAAGCGUCCGCAGGUGGCGAUUCAAGUCUGCUGUCAAAGCACGGGGCUUAACUCCGUAAAGGCAGUGGAAACUGAAUAGCUAGAGUGCCGUAGGGGUAGAGGGAAUUCCCGGUGUAGCGGUGAAAUGCGUAGAGAUCGGGAAGAACAUCGGUGGCGAAAGCGCUCUACUGGACGGCAACUGACACUCAGGGACGAAAGCUAGGGGAGCGAAUGGGAUUAGAUACCCC